ACGGGGGCAUAACACGCCGAGCAGGACCUAGGAAACGCGCCCAAACAGUGAUUUGGCAAGCGCGCAACAAGGAACAAUAGGCGAACGCGCGCGCGCACGUAGGCAGGGCUGUUGUUGGCGGCCGUGUGUGUGUAUGUGUGUGUGUGUGUGUGGGUGGGUGAGUUUGGUUGGGUUUAUUUUGUUUUUCCUCCUUUCUGUUGCUGCUUCUCUUUCCCAAGCCGCACCCACGAUGGCACUCAGAAUGCAGCAAGCAGAAGAAGAUUGCGAAGUUUAAGCAAACGUAUCAGAGCUGAUACGCGUAUUUACUCGGAAGAGAGGUCCGCGGAAUUGAGGGCUGAGUAAACCCGCGUGCAUUCGGGAGGCAAGGCUGACAGAUCGCCCACCGAGGGAGCACACCGCAUUUUAUAAUCCGAGAGGAGACGGCCCUAUCGUUAGUCUGAGUUCAGUAAACCUAUAAAACAAACCGAUUUGGGGAUAAGGUAGAGCGCGGGGGAUUAAGUGCGGCAUGAUACAGCCUGGCCUGACCUCCCAAAUUAGCUCCCUAUUUCCAUUGUGCUGGAAGAGGUGCUGCCUGCCCCCGUGAUGAAGGUUGAGUAACUUUGAAAGUUGAUCCCAGGGAAGUUGUCGCCUUGCUACAAAUAGCUGCUUUUUGUACGCCUGCCUCUGCCAGCAAAAUGUAUCGCCUGAAAAAGGGCUCACACUUCUGUAUUCACAGCGGGAGAAUGGCUGAAUAGAAGACAUAAGCUUGUCCUGAAAGAUACAUUCUAUAGAGAUCUAGCUCUCUGGAGAAGGCUCUGAUGCUGAAAAAGAUGGAAGGAAAGAGAAGAAGAAGGACGACCAGCAGCAAGUCCAAAAUCAGUUGCAGUGUUGAUGAAUGCAUCAUUGGGAGACCUGAAGGAUUAUCCUGGGGACAGAUCCUCCUGGAGAAAAUCAGCCUAUGUGGCUGGCACAUAAUCAGUCAGUCAGUCAGUCAGUCAUCACACCUCCCUCUCUGGAAUUUAUCAGUUGUGCAAUGAAAUAACCCAACUACUAAAUCUGAGCAUAGCAAGGCAGCUCAAUUCUCAA